UACGAAGGGUGCAAGCGUUACUCGGAAUUACUGGGCGUAAAGCGUGCGUAGGCGGUCUGUUAAGUCCGUUGUGAAAGCCCUGGGCUCAACCUGGGAAUUGCAGUGGAUACUGGCAGGCUAGAGUACGGUAGAGGAUGGUGGAAUUCCCGGUGUAGCGGUGAAAUGCGUAGAGAUCGGGAGGAACACCGAUGGCGAAGGCGCAAUCCCUGGACCAU
rnacentral:rRNA from 1 species